UAGAGUUUAAAGAGUGCGAGACACACAAUGGGAAUUGAAGUUUCUUGCCUAAGCGUUUUUUUAGCUUCCCAGGUUGUCCUUCAUAGAGAAGUCGUGUAAAAGGUUGUCCUAUCAACAGGUCGAAGUCCCAUGUGUCAAAGAUAUAAAAGCUUAAAUGCACUGAGGUUCCUUCCACCUGAAUGGGCUGGAUGUGUAGGAUUCCUAAACUGGGGAUAAUAUGUUCUGAGAGACUUCUCAUGAAUUUUAUUGUUGGGAUUAAUGUCAUGUCUUGUAUUAAAUUUUCUGCAAGAGACAUAGACAUGAUAUUUAUCCCCACAACUGGAUUAUAGAGAGCAUUUAUUUGAUCUGUAUUGAUUAUGCAAUGAAUAAGAAUAGAAGAUGAAUCUAAACGGAUUAUUUUAGUGGAAAGCUCGGAUUGUUCUAACCAUCAUUACUUAUAACACAUACUAAUUCUCCUAAGGUUCUUGCAGGGGGAAUGUUCUUAGCAGGAUUAAAAGACUCUCUAGUGUUUCUUUGUGGCCUCUUCACAGAGUGAUAAUUCAAAACGUUUCCAAAUUUGGAAAAGAGAUCAGGUUCUAUGUCUACAAUAAAAUCUAGAAAUAGAAGUUCUUCUUUUUCUUGCUCUAGACAUGUGUUAGCUGAAGUAGAUGGUGUGUCUGGCGAAGGGUUGGUUUCAGCUAACUAGGGUUGAGGCUUUACUUCUAGGAGGUAAUCUAAUUUAGUGGAUGGGAUUUGAUCUAGGAUUAAUCUUGCUUUCUCAGAAGAGACAUGCAAGAAAGAUCCUCCUCAAGUAGUGUGGAGCAAUUUUCUACUUUCUCUACUCAGACAUUUAUAAAAAUGUUGUAAAAGAAUAGGGUCUAAUAGACUAAAGUCCUAGCCGGAUGCUAAAAGUAUAGUAAAUCGAUUCCAGGCUGAAGCCAAUGAUGCUUUAGAUUCUUGCUUUAUAGUGAGAACCUUGACUCUAAGGUCAAUGAUUUGGGAGAUGGGAUAGAAAUCUAGGCAAAAGUUGGAACGUAAAGAUCCCCAAUCUCCUUUUUGCUUACCUACGACUCUAUUAUACCAAUGUCUAGCUUUUCCCUUAAAUGAAAAAGGAAAUAGCUUCCAACGAAGAGUUUCGUUAGAUAUGCCUUCUAUGCGAAGAUAGUCACAUGUUUGCUCAAAUUCUCUAAUGUGUAGGUAAGGAUUUUCAUCUCCUUCUCCUGAAAAGGAUAGGCUUUGGACCAAUGCAAUCAACCGCGG
rnacentral:lncRNA from 1 species